rnacentral:rRNA from 1 species
UGGGGAAUAUUGCACAAUGGACGGAAGUCUGAUGCAGCAACGCCGCGUGCGGGAUGACGGCCUUCGGGUUGUAAACCGCUUUUUCUCAUGACGAAGUUUUUUGACGGUAGUGGGGGAAGAAGCACCGGCUAACUACGUGCCAGCAGCCGCGGUGAUACGUAGGGUGCGAGCGUUGUCCGGAAUUAUUGGGCGUAAAGAGCUUGUAGGCGGUUUGUCGCGUCGAUAGUGCAAACUCAGUGCUUAACGCUGAGCCUGCUGUUGAUACGGGCAGACUAGAGGAAGGUAGGGGAGAAUGGAAUUCCCGGUGGAGCGGUGGAAUGCGCAGAUAUCGGGGGGAACACCGGUGGCGAAGGCGGUUCUCUGGGCCUUUCCUGACGCUGAGAAGCGAAAGCGUGGGGAGCGAACAGG